CAGCCGCCGCGGUAAUACGGAGGGCGCGAGCGUUACCCGGAUUUACUGGGCGUAAAGGGCGUGUAGGCGGCCUGGGGCGUCCCAUGUGAAAGGCCACGGCUCAACCGUGGAGGAGCGUGGGAUACGCUCAGGCUAGAGGGUGGGAGAGGGUGGUGGAAUUCCCGGAGUAGCGGUGAAAUGCGCAGAUACCGGGAGGAACGCCGAUGGCGAAGGCAGCCACCUGGUCCACUUCUGACGCUGAGGCGCGAAAGCGUGGGGAGCAAACCGGAUUAGAUACCCGCGUAGUCCCUGUCUCUUAUAC
rnacentral:rRNA from 1 species